rnacentral:rRNA from 1 species
GAUGAAUGCUGGCGGCGUGCCUAAUACAUGCAAGUCGAGCGAACGGACGAGAAGCUUGCUUCUCUGAUGUUAGCGGCGGACGGGUGAGUAACACGUGGAUAACCUACCUAUAAGACUGGGAUAACUUCGGGAAACCGUAGCUAAUACCGGAUAAUAUUUUGAACCGCAUGGUUCAAAAGUGAAAGACGGUCUUGCUGUCACUUAUAGAUGGAUCCGCGCUGCAUUAGCUAGUUGGUAAGGUAACGGCUUACCAAGGCAACGAUGCAUAGCCGACCUGAGAGGGUGAUCGGCCACACUGGAACUGAGACACGGUCCAGACUCCUACGGGAGGCAGCAGUAGGGAAUCUUCCGCAAUGGGCGAAAGCCUGACGGAGCAACGCCGCGUGAGUGAUGAAGGUCUUCGGAUCGUAAAACUCUGUUAUUAGGGAAGAACAUAUGUGUAAGUAACUGUGCACAUCUUGACGGUAACUAAUCAGAAAGCCACGGCUAACUACGUG